rnacentral:lncRNA from 1 species
CAUAGGAGCAAAUUAUAUCCUCUUCAUACAUUUUUUUUUCUUUUACCCUGUGACGAAUUUCUUUCUCCAGAGGGAGAAAUGAUUUUUUAAAAGGCUUGAACAACAUGAUAAUCUUUCCUCCUGAUAGCCUCUGGUUGAAUUACCCCUGAAUUUGAAGCAUUUACUGAUGAAAUGAUACUUGACAUUAACCAGUGUUGUAUGGAAAUAUUUCUAGCACCUGGGGAGAAAAUAAAGGAGGGUAUUCAUAACACUGCCGCUGUGUGGCUGAAUCUUCCAUUUUUCUCAGAGCCACCUUGAAUUACACUUGCUUCAUGCUGAUUGACUUUUCUCCUGAGAGACACUUUUAGACAAUAGAAAGAUUUGCACCACUGGAAAAAAAAUGAGAAUUAACCGUAUAUUAUAGUAAAUAAAAAGAUUGGGUUUGGGUAAUGGUCUGCUUGGCUGGUUGGCAGAACCAACUGGAGGCUUUGGUUUGGGAUUUUUGUCCUUGUGUAGACUGGCAGAGGGUGAUAAUCAUAUUCUGGUCAAUGAAAUACUCUUUUUGCUUAUAAAGCUCUGCUUAGACGUGGGGCUCAAGCAGAGAAGUAGGAUUUUCCAGGGAGGAGUGUAUAUGAAUUUGGUUUUAGGUUUUGCAUCUCAAGGAUACUUUGGAUUUGGCAAACUGCUUUAUACCACUCACUUUAGUGAAAAUAGAUAACAAAAACUAUGAGACUAUGUGGAUGAUUACUUAGCAUUAAUAAAGUUCUUCCCCUCGUGCCAGUCUUUGCCAUUUAUAGUCUUUGAAAAUUCUGUUCUUUUUUAAAGAUUUUAUUUACUUAUUUUUUAAAGAUUUUAUUUCUUUACUCAUGAGAGACACACACACAGAGAGAGGCAGAGACACAGGCAGAAGAAGAAGCAGGCUGCAUGCAGGGAGCCCAACGUGGGACUCGAUCCUGGGUCUCCAGGAUCAGACCCUGGGCCGAAGGUGGCACCAAACCGCUGAGCCACCCAGGCUGCCCAAGAUUUUAUUUUUAAGUUAUAUGUACACCCAACUAGAACUCACGACCCCAAGAUCAAGAGUUGUGCACUUCACUGACUAAGCCAGGCGCCCCUGUUUGUUUUUCUUUUUAAUGAGAAAAGAGAAGAGCGUAGCCAACUAUGGAACAGUUGUCUCAUUCUUUUUUUUUUUUUUUUUUUAAGAACCAAACUAUUUUUUUUUAAGAUUUUACUUAUUUGACAGAGAGACGGAGAGAACACAAGCAGGCAGAGUGGCAGAGGGAGAGGGAGAAGCAGACACUCUGCUGAGCAAAGAGCCCAAUGUGGAGCUUGAUCCCAGGACCCUGGGAUCAUGACCUGAGUUGAAGACAGAUGCUUAACCAACUGAGCCACCCAGGCACCCAGUUAUCUCAUUCUUAAGUUGGAACAUGGAGAUGUGUUUAUAUAACAAGUAUUGAAGCCAUUUCUUCAAGGAUAACUCCCAGCUUAGUUGAAAUGGGAAGCCAUACCCAGUGAUAUGGUGUAGGAAGAAUAAUGAACUCAUUUGAAGAAUCCUGGGAUUACAUCCCACCUCUGAAGCUUUCCAGGCAGCUGUUGGACCUGUCUGGGCCACAGUGUCUAGCUUGGAUUCAGUCAAUGUCUCCCCAAUUGUAUUCUAGAAAAUACCCUUUCUUCUCCUGUAGGUGCCUGUUGUGGGGGCAUGGGGGAUGGGGAGUAAAUUAAUAAUAAAAUAGAUUUUAGGAACUGUGCUUAGAAUCACAGUUUGUGUAGUAUAUUUGUGUGUGCAACAGGUAUUCACUGAAUUCUGACCGUGUGUCAGGGAACUUUAUUUUUGCCACUGUAGAUAAACAACAGAUACUGUGCUUUCACAAGGAGACAGCAAAGUGGGAUAAAUUAUUAGAGAUGACUAAGGAUGAGAGAGGGGGAACGUUUAUUUUGGUGCAUACAGAAGACUCCACGAAGUUCUAAAUUAACAAAUCUGUUCACCUUUGUUCAACCUGCAUUUCCUAAAAUAGAUGCACACCUAUUCAUAGGUCAUAACGUGAUGUGUCAUAGGACACAGUUUGGGAAAUGCUGGACUAGCUAUUUACCCAGGGUCUGUAAGUUUUAUAAUCGUCAUUCCUGAUUAGUCUAAUGAUUCAUUUAGAUCUUCUCCCUGGAGCAUGUUGUAGAGUUACAGUGUAUGCUGACCAGACCAAUUUUAUUCCAUAAACAUUCACCAAAUAUUUGCCGUUUCCAAGCACUUUGUUAGAUAAAAACUAUAAGAAGAAGAAAGAAGGGAGAUUAUUGUCCAGUGUGUAAUUUAAAAACACACAUAAGUAACUUUAAUACAAGGAAGAAUGUGCUAUCUGAGAGGUACAUACAGAUAAAAUAUAGACAAGUUCAGAGCACUAGUUUUCAGAGUAUGGUUGUGCCAGGCCCUGCAUCUCCUGGGGACUUGCUAGAAUUAUAAAUUCUCCACCUAGUGAUCUAGAAACUCUGAGGUGGAGCUUAGCCCUACCAUGAUUCUGGUAUUCAAUAAAGCUUAAACAUCACAGCUUUAGAACUGGAGCUCACUUUGGGGGUGCCUGGGUACCUCAUUUGGUUGAGCCACUGACUCGAUUUUGGCUCAGUUCAUGAUCUCAGAGUCUUGAGAUAGAGCCCCGCAUGGGCCUCUGCAGUCAGUGCAGAGUCUGCUUGAGAUUCUCUCCUCCCUCGGCUCCUCCCUGGCUCACAUUCUCUCUGUCUCUCUCAAAGAAAUAAAAAUCCUAAAAAUCGAAAGAAAGAAAAAAA